GCGCUUGUAGCUCAGCUGGAUAGAGCGCUUCCCUCCUAAGGAAGAAGUCGGACGUUCGAAUCGUCUCAAGCGCGCCA
rnacentral:tRNA from 1 species